rnacentral:rRNA from 1 species
AUUGAACGCUGGCGGCGUGCUUAACACAUGCAAGUCGAUCGGUAACAGGUGUAGCAAUACAUGCUGACGAGAGGCGGACGGGUGAGGAAUAUUUGGGAAUCUGCCCAUCAGCGGGGGACAACCCGGGGAAACCCGGGCUAAUACCGCAUACGCUCUACGGAGGAAAGCCGGGGACCGCAAGGCCUGGCACUGAUGGAUGAGCCCAAAUCGGAUUAGCUAGUUGGCGGGGUAACGGCCCACCAAGGCGACGAUCCGUAGCUGGUCUGAGAGGACGAUAAGCCACACCGGAACUGAGGCACGGUCCGGACUGCUACGGGAGGCAGCAGGGGGGAAUAUUGGACAAUGGGGGAAACCCUGAUCCAGCGACGCCGCGUGGGUGAAGAAGGCCUGCGGGUUGUAAAGCCCUUUCGGUAGGGACGAAAGCUCUUGCUCUAACAAAGCAGGAGGUUGACUUAACCUACAUAAGAAGCACCGGCUAACUCUGUGCCAGCCGCCGCCGUAAUAC